GAAGAAGGGUCUCGACCCGAAACGCCAUCCAUUCCUUCUCUCCAGAGAUGCUGCCUGUCCGGCUGAGUUGCACCACGUUCUGUGCCUAAAUUCAGUUUAAACCAGCAUCUGCAGUUCCUUACUACAGAGAACAAUGAAGGGGUUCCAGAACCAGUGCACUAGCUGGAGUCAGAUAAAGAGGCACGCGUAAUCUUCGCGAUGAAGAUGAUUUUCCUCCCGAUGAAUCAGCUGAAGUUUACUAAAUCAUGGACAACAUUUGAGGACAGCCCAUUCCAUCUCUCCGCCUGAACUAUACGCUGUUCACCCCGAUGUGAUGUAACGCUACAUUCUACACACUUGCAACACAAUACUCUUCGUCUGUUUGUUGUAGGAUGCAACUGCAGAUGCUGGUUUAACCCGAAGAUAGUACAAAAAGCUGGAGAAACUCAGCGGGUCAGAGAGCACAUCUGGAACAAAAAUGAAUAGGUGUCUGAAGAACGGUCUCGAUCCGUAACGUUACAUGUUCCUUCUCUCCAGGGAUGAUGUCUGUCCCGCUGAGUUACAACAACACGUUGUGUCUAUCUUCUGUUUAUUGUGGCACUAUAUGCCGCAUUGUUUCUCUUUUUGCAUUUCCUGAUACACUCAUGUAUGGUAUAAUUUACUUCGAUGCCACGGGAAACAAAUAUUGCCAAUCAUUAACUAAUUACACCGCGGCGUGAGAUAUAGAAUGUUCCUUGGUUGGUGUAUGGUGUUGAAUACUAAAAUAAAAAAAAUAAUUUAUCAUAUUAUGCAUUACUCACAUAUUCUGUAAAUGUUCUCAAUACAUGGUAAACUCAUGCAUUGGGUAUUAUUUGGACUAAGGUUGUUUACGAUCUUAUGUUAAAUUUAAGCUACUCGUAUAUAAGCCUCAUUCGUUAAAAUCCUAUCAUUAUGCGCCCAUUGUCUCAUAAUACAAUUCUAAAACGGUCCACAACUCCGCCUUUGGGGUGGACAGAUACUUGGUGAAUCGCUGGAAUUUGCAGCGAAUGCUAAAAGCAGAGAGUUACAUUUUAGAAAUAUAAUAAAUGUCGGGAAACGUGCAUUUUCUAGAUCAUGUUAAGUAUGAAUAACUUAUUUAAAAAAAGCAAAUUAAAAGUGUCGGUCUUGUUAUUUUCAAUGUCUAUAUAAUUAAUAAUAAUAGAAGACAAUGUUAAAAUUAUUACGUGUGCUUAAUUAUUGAAUUAUUUAUAAUGUAGAUAUACAACAUUCCGCCAUAAUUCAAUAUUACUGCUUGAUUGUUUUUUUUAAUUUCUACAACAUUUUUGUUUACUUUCGCCGACUGUUUCAAAGGAAGAUUUUUGAUUAAAGCAACUCGGCACCUGCUAUAACGCCAGAUUUGGACGCCUUCCGUUUCAUCCAAUCGGCUAAUUUCUUCAUAAAGCAUGACCAAGUUCAAAAUAAAUUGCUAGAAGCUAGUGCACCAGAAGACCAGCAAGCGAGCCGUACGAGUAACUUAGCAAAGAAUGUUGGCAUAUGGUCUUCAGUUCCGUUCCUGUGAAGCGCGCUGGAAUGUUUUAAUACAUUAUAUGCGCGAUACAAAUGAAGGAACUGCAGAUGCUGGUUUAAACUGUAGAUAGACACAAAAGCUCGAGGAACUCAGCGGGACAUGCAGCAUCUCUGGAGAGAAGGAAUGGGUGACGUUUCGGGUCGAGACCCUUCUUCAGUCUGAAGAGUUACUCCAGCUUUUUGUGUCUUAAAGCUAUUUGUCUGUAUUUCGAGUUUGUAGAUGGAUGCUACUAAUGCCAAAAUUAAGACAAUACAUUUCCUGUUCUACAAAACCAAAUGUGUACAGUGUAUAGGGUUGACAGUGUAGUAAUUCGCUACAAUAUCGAGCUGCCACACUAUGUGGGUGGGUAGUCAAUGUGCCCGUGACCGCAUGGGCAUACCUGCACACAUGUGUUUGCAAUUGGAAAUGACCCGCGCUGGGUAGUUCUACCGUAUUGCAGAGAAAACCAUGGCUCAAGGGCAACAGCAUGGGACAAUUAGUCAAUGUAACUUCCAUUUGCACAUUCUAACGGCGCUUGAUUUUCCGGAAAGUUGUUAAAUAUCUCCGAGUGCCACAGUGCACUAAAUAACGCAAGCGUAUCUGCAGUUUUUGAAAGAAAUAGUGCGCAGACACUCCGACAAUUAUAUUUCCCGAAUAAAUUUCAUAUCUGCCCACGGUUUAAUCACGGCACGGGGAAGAUCUUUUUCGGUACAAUUGUAUUUCUAUCCAAUCGCAACGUAAAUGGUCCCGCUUCAUGCUUUACAGGAAUGCAGAAACUGUACCAGUCCGUUGUUACCCGUUCAAUUUCCCCCAACCCGCUCGAUAGAAAGUGUGUAGGAAAGAACUGCAGAUGUUGGUUUAAAUCGAAGGUAGACACAAAAUGUUGGAGUAACUCGGCGGGACAGGCAGCAUCUCUGGAGAGAAGGAAUGGGAGGCGUUUCAGGUCGAGACCCUUCUCGGUUACUCCAGCAUUUUGUGUCUACCGCUCGAUAUAAAUGCACAACUAACUGAUGGCGGGAUACUCAUGCCACAUGUGGAGGGAAAUAUAUAAAAGCGGCAAAAGUCUCAACGCAUAACAAUGACUUGUUUCUUCUUUAUCCCACUUUCUCAUCCGCUCCCCACACAUUAGCGGCAAUUUUGCAGAGGCAAAUGAACCUACACACAAGCGCGUCUUUGCGAUGUGGGAGUAAACUGGAGCACCCGGGGGAAACCCACGCGAUCACAUGGAGAACGUGCAAACUCCAUACAGACAGCACAUGAGGUCAGGAUCGAACCUGGGUCUCUGGCGCAAUGACAUUGUCAUUGUCAUUACCUCGUCAAUGCCUAGUAGUUAGUCCCUGCCUCCAUAUUGUACAGGAGAGCAAGAGCAGCCACUGCCUGGUCGAAUGCGCUGGCUAUGAGAUGUUGGUCCUCAAAUAGUGUCAUUCAGAUUGCCAAAGGCUGUUGCAAUCACAGUGAAGGUAAUAGUGAAAGCUUCUAUGUAAGGCUUCAUUGAGGGAUGACUCUCGAGAGAUGAGGAGAGGUCCACGUCCUACAGAAUCUUGUCAUGGACAUUUACUAUGCAAUGUAGUCCGCUGUGCUAGACUGGGAGAGGAUCUUUGUUUCGCAGACGUAACAUUGAAGAAGAUGCCUAAGUGUAUGUUUUGGUGAAUAUUGCGACAUUGACCUGAAACUCCUCCAAAUGUGCACACACGCACGUGUUGCCCGCAGACUGCAGCUUCGUGGCAGAGGUUGUGGUGAGUGGUUUCUGGAGUGGAGAUAAUGUAGGUUUAAAUUACCAUUUGGCUUGUGCAAUAGCUGUGUUCCAGCAGAACGCUUGUUCGAGGUGAGUUGGUGCAAGAGCGAUUGAGAGUGAUGAUACAGUCUUGUUUGGCAUUGAACAAUGGUGUAGCUGGUAGAUCUGAUGCCUCACACAAAGGGUGGUGCGUGUAUAGACCGAGCUGCCAAGGGAGGCUGGGACCAUCCCAACGUUUAAUAAACAGUUAGGUACAUGAAUGACGGGUUUGGAGGGAUACGGGCCAAACGCGGGCAGGUGCAUCUAGUGUAGCUGGUGUUGGCUGGUGUAGGCAAGUUGGGCUGAGUGGCCUGUUUCCACGCUGUAUCACUCUGUGACUAUGACAGCUCUGCAAUCGCACGUUCAAUACUGACCACUGGUGCUGCCUUUGUGGAGUUUACAUGUUUUCCAUGUGACUGCGUAGAUUUAUGAGUACUCCAGUUUUCUCUCGCAUCACAAAAACGUGCGGGUUACUUGAUAACUUGCUCAUUGUAAAGUGCCAUGAAUGUGUGGAUCAGAAGAAAUUGCUUGGAAUUUGGAGAGAAUGAAAUGGGUCAGUGCAACUGGUAGAACUGCCACCUCACAAUGUCAGUGAGAAAAUGAGAUGACAUAGAAGUCAUGUGGACAUGUGAUCAAUGGUCAGAUUGGAUUCAGUGGGCCAAAGAUCUGUUUCCAUGCUGUGUCUCUAAACUAAACGGGUGCUUAAUGGACUCCACGGAUUUGGCUUGUCUACGUGUAGAAUAUAUAUAGUGCAACUGUAAAACGGAGAAGAAUUUUCAGUGCAUUGCCAAAUUUGAAUAUGGUGUUUAGUGGUUGAUCAUGUUCUCUGCAUCUCUCUUGCAUCUCUCGUGGAGUUGGUGUGCUGCGAAGAUCAUGUCCGAUGUGUCUCUAUAUUAUUGACACCCACAUGCAAUUCAUGCUUCAGUUUCCCAGGAGAAGGCAGCUUAGGAGAAUUCUUAUGACGACUUCCCCUAUGCCAGGCAGUAAUGAGCGCUCUGCUGUCAUGCAAUUAUAUUUGCCUCCAUUCUCAAAGACGACCACGAUCACUGUGUCCCUGACAUAUCCCUCUCUUC